rnacentral:rRNA from 1 species
UACGGAGGGUCCAAGCGUUAUCCGGAAUCAUUGGGUUUAAAGGGUCCGUAGGCGGGCUAAUAAGUCAGAGGUGAAAUCCCACAGCUUAACUGUGGCACUGCCUUUGAUACUGUUAGUCUUGAAUAUUAAUGAAGUUGGCGGAAUAGGUUGUGUAGCGGUGAAAUGCGUAGAGAUUGGAAGGAACACCGAUGGCGAAGGCACUUUACUGGGCUAUUACUAACACUCAGAGACGAAAGCUAGGGUAGCAAAUGGG